CUUCUAUAGAUAUCUGAGUGCAAGUUGCAUAUGUUUUUGUGUCUCUUGCAUACCUGGAGCUGGAAUUGCUAGGUCCUAUGGUAAUCCUAUGUUUAAGCUAUACUGUUUUCCAAAGCAGCUGAACCAGUUUAAAUCCCACCAGCAGCAUAUGAGGGUUCCAUUUACCCAUAUCCUUGCCAACCCUGGUUAUUGGACUUUGGGAUUCUAGCCACCUUGUGGGUAUGAUGUGGUAUCUUACUAUAGUUCUGAUUUGCAUUUCCCUGAUUACUAAUACUUCUGAGUACCUUUUUAUGUGCUUUUAUUGGCCAUUGGUAUACCUUCCCUGGAAAAACGUCUAUUCUGAUCCUUUGUUCAUUUUAAACUUUGGGUUAUCUGUCUUUUUAUUGUUGAGCUGUGAGCAUUCUUUAUAUAUUCUGGGUACUAGUCUCAUAUUAGAUAUAUGAUUUGCAGAUAUUUUCUCCCAUACUGUGUGUAGUCUUAUCACUUUUUUGAUGGUGUCCUUUCAGGCACAAACAUUUUUAGUUUAGAGAAGUCCACUUUAACUAUUUUUAUUGUUAUUGCUUAUGCUUUUAGUGUCAUGUCUAAAAAUCCUUUGCCAAGCAAAAGUCAUGAAGAUUUGUCCCUAUAUUUUCUUCUAAGAGUUUUAUAGUUUUGUCCUUGCAUUUAGAUUUCUGAUCCAUUUUGAAUCGAUUUCUGUAUACAGUGUGAGGUAAGGAUUCAACCAUUGCUUUGCAUGUGGAUAUCCAGCUGUCUCAAAUGCAAGCUGUUGAAAAGACUAUUCUUUUCCCAUUGGAUCACUUUAGCACCCUUGUUAAAAGUGGGGGGGUCUCUUAUUUUUUUAAAGAUUAUGUAUUUAUUUAUUUGACAGAGAGAGAAAGCACAAGCAAGGGGAGCAGCAGGCAGAGGGAGAGGGAGAAGCAGACUCCCUGCUAAGCAGAGAACCCCACGUGGGGCUCAAUCCCAGGACCCUGGAAUCAUGACUUGAGCUGAAGGCAGAUGCUUCACCAACUGAGCCACCCAGGCACCCCUUAUUCCUGUAUUUUAAAACAGAGAGGUUGGGUGCCAACUACCUGCGGGGCGGCUCACUUUCCCAGGAGAGAGCCAGACACAGCCCCAGGCAGCCCGGAUGCAAGGCGGAGUGUGGCGUGGCCAGUGGAAGAGUCCAGGAGAGAAGCCCAGAUCCAGGUGGGGAACCAAGAUGGUGCUGGGUGGAAGUGGCAUCGGAGUGGGCCAGGCCAGGGACUGGGUGGGCUGCCCAGGCGUGCGGCAGGGCUGUGGGGGAAGAGAAGGGUGACCGGGGGAGACAAAGAAGUGAGGUGGGCAAGAACAUUUAGACCUGGGCUCCCUCUUGGCUCCACAGCUUUCUGGCUGGGAGGCCUCAGGCAAGCCCCUCACCUCCUUGGAUCCUAUUUCCCCACCACUUAGAGGGGGACGUGGUGCCUCCCUUGCAACGGAACAACAGGAGACAUUUAUUGAGUGGCUGGCACGUGUGACAUGUUGUACCGUUCAGUCCUCAGGACCGGGGCUCAAUGGAAGGAUUCUCCACCAGGGCUUCCAGGUGGCAGGGGAAGAACAGGGGUGCGGGGGGCGGUGCCACCGAGCAUGGUGGUGGAGCCCGUGUCCUACUGCACCUGGGCUCCGGAGCCACACUCUCCAUCGCGGUUUCCACCUCCCAGGGGAGGGCCUGCAAAACCAGGCCACGGGUUUGGACUUCCCUGGCAGGCUGGGGAGUGGGGACGGCAGCCCCUCAAAGUUUCUGUACUGGGCAAGGCACCGUCUUGUCACUGCCGGCCAGUGGGGUGAAGGACCUCAGGGCUGCAGAGUGACGGCUAUUGUUCCUGGUUCUGGGAACUUCUCUCUCACCAGCGUUGUCACUGGGGAGCAUCCGGUCUGGGGUCUCUGGAAGACUCUCCUCUGCUUGUUUCCUUCCAGCUUACUGUCCCGACAGCAUCAUGUGCCGGGGAGGGGAGCUCACGGGAUACUGUUUUCCUCCAAAGGCUCCAACAGCUGACGACGUGUUUGGUGGCGUGCCCCCCACAGGCCCCGUCCCUCGGAGAGCCUGUCUUCCAACGCCUGCCAGGGCCUUGAGCGGCCAGGCCGCCUUCCUUGGGGACCAUCAACAUAUAGAACUUAUUUUUAAUUUCAUAGAACAACAGACUCCCUCCUUCCCCCCCUCCC
rnacentral:lncRNA from 12 species